UCAAUAGAGGUACGAGAAAGGGUUGGGGGCAAUGAAGUAGGUGAAGUGAUGAAUACUAAGGAGGCUUUGAUGGUAGCUAAUUGAAGACCGAGACAAUCUGAGCAUCUGGCGAAUCCAAUCCGUACAACCGGUAGUU